rnacentral:rRNA from 1 species
UACGUAGGCAGCAAGCGUUGUUCGGAAUUAUUGGGCGUAAAGAGCUUGUAGGCGGUUUGUCGCGUCUGCUGUGAAAAUCCGGGGCUCAACCCCGGACUUGCAGUGGGUACGGGCAGACUAGAGUGUGGUAGGGGAGACUGGAAUUCCUGGUGUAGCGGUGAAAUGCGCAGAUAUCAGGAGGAACACCGAUGGCGAAGGCAGGUCUCUGGGCCACUACUGACGCUGAGAAGCGAAAGCGUGGGGAGCGAACAGG